GACGAACGCUGGCGGCGUGCCUAAUACAUGCCAGUAGAACGCACAGUUUAUACCGUAGCUUGCUACACCAUAGACUGUGGGUUGCGAACGGGUGAGUAACGCGUAGGUAACCUGCCUGGUAGCGGGGGAUAACUAUUGGAAACGAUAGCUAAUACCGCAUAAUAUUAAUUAUUGCAUGAUAAUUGAUUGAAAGAUGCAACUGCAUCACUACCAGAUGGACCUGCGUUGUAUUAGCUAGUAGGUGAGGUAACGGCUCACCUAGGCGACGAUACAUAGCCGACCUGAGAGGGUGAUCGGCCACACUGGGACUGAGACACGGCCCAGACUCCUACGGGAGGCAGCAGGAGGGAAUCUUCGGCAAUGGACGAAAGUCUGACCGAGCAACGCCGCGGGAGUGAAGAAGGUUUUCGGAUCGUAAAGCUCGGUUGUAAGAGAAGAACGGGGGUGAGAGUGGAAAGUUCACACUGUGACGGUAUCUGACCAGAAAGGGACGGCUAACUACGUG
rnacentral:rRNA from 1 species